ACUCUUGUUCCACUGCAUUUGACCGCGUAAAUCUUUCGCCUUUUACUAAAGAUUUCCGUGCGGAGGAACAAAUAUGAGAUUGAAUCAUUUUUUGGGUUCCCAUUCUUCGGAUUGGGG
rnacentral:snRNA from 1 species